GGGGAUUUAGCUCAGUGGUAGAGCGCUUGCCUAGCAAGCACAAGGCCGUGGGUUCAGUCCUCA
rfam:Rattus norvegicus chromosome 9, whole genome shotgun sequence.